AACGAACGCUGGCGGCAUGCCUAACACAUGCAAGUCGAACGAGACCUUCGGGUCUUGUGGCGCACGGGUGCGUAACGCGUGGGAACCUGCCCUUAGGUUCGGAAUAACUCUCCGAAAGGGGUGCUAAUACCGGAUAAUGUCUUCGGACCAAAGAUUUAUCGCCUUUGGAUGUGCCCGCGUUGGAUUAGCUUGUUGGUAGGGUAAUAGCUUACCAAGGCGACGAUCCAUAGCUGGUCUGAGAGGAUGAUCAGCCACACUGGGACUGGGACACGGCCCGGACUCCUACGGGAGGCAGCAGUGGGGAAUAGUGGACAAUGGGCGAAAGCCUGAUCCAGCAAUGCCGCGUGAGUGAUGAAGGCAUUAGGGUUGUAAAGCUCUUUUAACCGGGAUGAUAAUGACAGUACCGGGAGAAUAAGCUCCGGCUAACUCCGUG
rnacentral:rRNA from 1 species